UUAAGCGACUAAGCGUACACGGUGGAUGCCCUGGCAGUCAGAGGCGAUGAAGGACGUGCUAAUCUGCGAAAAGCGUCGGUAAGGUGAUAUGAACCGUUAUAACCGGCGAUGUCCGAAUGGGGAAACCCAGUGUGAUUCGUCACACUAUCGUUAACUGAAUACAUAGGUUAACGAGGCGAACCGGGGGAACUGAAACAUCUAAGUACCCCGAGGAAAAGAAAUCAACCGAGAUUCCCCCAGUAGCGGCGAGCGAACGGGGAGCAGCCCAGAGUCUGAAUCAGCUUGUGUGUUAGUGGAACGGUCUGGAAAGUCCGACGGUACAGGGUGAUAGUCCCGUACACCAAAAUGCACAGGUUGUGAACUCGAAGAGUAGGGCGGGACACGUGGUAUCCUGUCUGAAUAUGGGGGGACCAUCCUCCAAGGCUAAAUACUCCUGACUGACCGAUAGUGAACCAGUACCGUGAGGGAAAGGCGAAAAGAACCCCGGCGAGGGGAGUGAAAAAGAACCUGAAACCGUGUACGUACAAGCAGUGGGAGCACCUUCGGGUGUGACUGCGUACCUUUUGUAUAAUGGGUCAGCGACUUAUAUUCUGUAGCAAGGUUAACCGUAUAGGGGAGCCGCAGGGAAACCGAGUCUUAACUGGGCGUUAAGUUGCAGGGUAUAGACCCGAAACCCGGUGAUCUAGCCAUGGGCAGGUUGAAGGUUGGGUAACACUAACUGGAGGACCGAACCGACUAAUGUUGAAAAAUUAGCGGAUGACUUGUGGCUGGGGGUGAAAGGCCAAUCAAACCGGGAGAUAGCUGGUUCUCCCCGAAAGCUAUUUAGGUAGCGCCUCGUAAAUUCAUCUUCGGGGGUAGAGCACUGUUUCGGCUAGGGGGUCAUCCCGACUUACCAACCCGAUGCAAACUACGAAUACCGAAGAAUGUUAUCACGGGAGACACACGGCGGGUGCUAACGUCCGUCGUGAAGAGGGAAACAACCCAGACCGCCAGCUAAGGUCCCAAAGUCAUGGUUAAGUGGGAAACGAUGUGGGAAGGCACAGACAGCCAGGAUGUUGGCUUAGAAGCAGCCAUCAUUUAAAGAAAGCGUAAUAGCUCACUGGUCGAGUCGGCCUGCGCGGAAGAUGUAACGGGGCUAAACCAUGCACCGAAGCUGCGGCAGCGACACUAUGUGUUGUUGGGUAGGGGAGCGUUCUGUAAGCCUGCGAAGGUGGCCUGUGAGGGUUGCUGGAGGUAUCAGAAGUGCGAAUGCUGACAUAAGUAACGAUAAAGCGGGUGAAAAGCCCGCUCGCCGGAAGACCAAGGGUUCCUGUCCAACGUUAAUCGGGGCAGGGUGAGUCGACCCCUAAGGCGAGGCCGAAAGGCGUAGUCGAUGGGAAACAGGUUAAUAUUCCUGUACUUGGUGUUACUGCGAAGGGGGGACGGAGAAGGCUAUGUUAGCCGGGCGACGGUUGUCCCGGUUUAAGCAUGUAGGCUGGUUAUCCAGGCAAAUCCGGAUAAUCAAGGCUGAGGUGUGAUGACGAGGCACUACGGUGCUGAAGUAACAAAUGCCCUGCUUCCAGGAAAAGCCUCUAAGCAUCAGGUAACAUUAAAUCGUACCCCAAACCGACACAGGUGGUCAGGUAGAGAAUACCAAGGCGCUUGAGAGAACUCGGGUGAAGGAACUAGGCAAAAUGGUGCCGUAACUUCGGGAGAAGGCACGCUGGUGUGUAGGUGAAGUCCCUGCGGAUGGAGCUGAGACCAGUCGAAGAUACCAGCUGGCUGCAACUGUUUAUUAAAAACACAGCACUGUGCAAACACGAAAGUGGACGUAUACGGUGUGACGCCUGCCCGGUGCCGGAAGGUUAAUUGAUGGGGUUAUCCGUAAGGAGAAGCUCUUGAUCGAAGCCCCGGUAAACGGCGGCCGUAACUAUAACGGUCCUAAGGUAGCGAAAUUCCUUGUCGGGUAAGUUCCGACCUGCACGAAUGGCGUAAUGAUGGCCAGGCUGUCUCCACCCGAGACUCAGUGAAAUUGAACUCGCUGUGAAGAUGCAGUGUACCCGCGGCAAGACGGAAAGACCCCGUGAACCUUUACUAUAGCUUGACACUGAACAUUGAGCCUUGAUGUGUAGGAUAGGUGGGAGGCUUUGAAGCGUGGACGCCAGUCUGCGUGGAGCCAACCUUGAAAUACCACCCUUUAAUGUUUGAUGUUCUAACGUUGGCCCCUGACCGGGGUUGCGGACAGUGUCUGGUGGGUAGUUUGACUGGGGCGGUCUCCUCCCAAAGCGUAACGGAGGAGCACGAAGGUUAGCUAAUCCUGGUCGGACAUCAGGAGGUUAGUGCAAUGGCAUAAGCUAGCUUGACUGCGAGCGUGACGGCGCGAGCAGGUGCGAAAGCAGGUCAUAGUGAUCCGGUGGUUCUGAAUGGAAGGGCCAUCGCUCAACGGAUAAAAGGUACUCCGGGGAUAACAGGCUGAUACCGCCCAAGAGUUCAUAUCGACGGCGGUGUUUGGCACCUCGAUGUCGGCUCAUCACAUCCUGGGGCUGAAGUAGGUCCCAAGGGUAUGGCUGUUCGCCAUUUAAAGUGGUACGCGAGCUGGGUUUAGAACGUCGUGAGACAGUUCGGUCCCUAUCUGCCGUGGGCGCUGGAGAAUUGAGGGGGGCUGCUCCUAGUACGAGAGGACCGGAGUGGACGCAUCACUGGUGUUCGGGUUGUCAUGCCAAUGGCACUGCCCGGUAGCUAAAUGCGGAAGAGAUAAGUGCUGAAAGCAUCUAAGCACGAAACUUGCCCCGAGAUGAGUUCUCCCUGAGACUUUAAGUCUCCUGAAGGAACGUUGAAGACGACGACGUUGAUAGGCCGGGUGUGUAAGCGCAGCGAUGCGUUGAGCUAACCGGUACUAAUGAACCGUGAGGCUUAACCUU
rnacentral:rRNA from 1 species